rnacentral:rRNA from 1 species
GUGGCUUAACCAUAGUACGCUUUGGAAACUGUUUAACUUGAGUGCAAGAGGGGAGAGUGGAAUUCCAUGUGUAGCGGUGAAAUGCGUAGAUAUAUGGAGGAACACCGGUGGCGAAAGCGGCUCUCUGGCUUGUAACUGACGCUGAGGCUCGAAAGCGUGGGGAGCAAACAGGAUUAGAUACCCUGGUAGUCCACGCCGUAAACGAUGAGUGCUAGGUGUUAGACCCUUUCCGGGGUUUAGUGCCGUAGCUAACGCAUUAAGCACUCCGCCUGGGGAGUACGACCGCAAGGUUGAAACUCAAAGGAAUUGACGGGGGCCCGCACAAGCGGUGGAGCAUGUGGUUUAAUUCGAAGGUCGACGCGGCCG